rnacentral:tRNA from 1 species
GGCCAGUUAGCUCAGUCAGUUGAGCAUAGCACUAACAAUGCUAACAACGCUAAGGUCACGGGUUCGAUUCCCGUUCAGUCCC